CCCCGCGCCGCCGAUGGCGCCGUUGCCGCGGUAACCGUGGGACGGCGGAAGAAGGCGCGGAGCCCAGCGGUGCGGCCAAUAGGCGCCGCGCGGAGACGGGCGCCGUCCCCCGGAAGGGCUGAGCGCCCGUGGGCUCCAAUCAUCUCACGCGAGAGAAGACGCUUCUGGAUGUCUCUUGGUUGUCCAGCUCCCCGGGCUUGGAGCUCCCCGCUCCGACCUUCCCCGGCCCGGACUGAUGAGGUGCAGGGCACAGCCAGAGAAGUGUACUGGCCUUCUGGCUCCCAUAUUGGUUUCUCGCCAAACCACUUUGAUUCCUAUCUUUUCCCCAAGUCUCGUCCUUCUCCACAACAUCCCAUAAUGCAUGGAGCUGUAUCCUGCUGAGCCUGAAACAGUGUCUAACUCUUAUAUUAGACUAUGUCCCGUCACUCUGGAAGCAAAAUUCUGCAUUGAGGGUCAGCUCUGUGAUUCCAUUUGGCUGCCUGCUCCGGUGCGGUGAGUAUUCGGAUAUUAGAAAAUUGUUUGACUCUAUUGAACUGUAGAUUAUAAAUAUGUCCUCCAUCUCAAUGCUGCUUUUUUGAGGCUUCAGCUAGCAUGGUAAAAUGGUCCCAGGCAGAAGCGUUCCUGCCAAGAGCUGCCUUUAGCUGCACUGAUGUUCUUGUAUUUGCCUUCCUCACCAAGCUAUUAUCUCUGUGUUGCUCAUCACCCUCCAUUAUGCUAGGGUUAGCUGAUGAGACCUUAUAUCCUAUAUCAAAGACUCUGUAAUCCCUAACCACCACCCUGAUUACAGGUUAGGAGCCUGAAGCCUCUCUGAAACAGUUUUGUUAAACUUAAUACAUAUAUAUAUUUUUAACUUCACAUGAAACAACCAAUUCACCUUAUUAACUUACUACCCCUACAACUGCAGUAAAUACUGAAUAGCUCUCCAAAUGCCAUUUACCAAUGCUUUUUUACAAGCUCAGGUCUACUGUCAAGUCAUAGUCAAGUUGAACUUUUCACAAGGAGCACCAUUCUUUUGUGGGUAGUGGGAAAUUCCCUCAGCCUGUCUUUAUCUGACAGGGUUUGGUCUCUGAUUGAGUCAGCAGAGAUCCUUUGUUUUCUACUCUUAAAUAAAGGCAUGUUUUCUCCGUGUUUGAUAUGUUUG
rnacentral:lncRNA from 1 species